rnacentral:rRNA from 1 species
UACAGAGGGGGCAAGCGUUAUUCGGAAUUAUUGGGCGUAAAGGGCGCGUAGGCGGCUUUGCAAGUGACGGGUGAACUCCCUCGGCUUAACCGAGGAACUGCCUGUCAAACUGCAUGGCUUGAGACCGGGAGAGGUGAGUGGAAUUCCCAGUGUAGCGGUGAAAUGCGUAGAUAUUGGGAGGAACACCAGUGGCGAAGGCGGCUCACUGGACCGGUACUGACGCUGAUGCGCGAAAGCGUGGGGAGCAAACAGG